CCUGUUUGUUUGAGUGAAAAGAAAGGGAUGCAGACUAUGCACAUGUGUCUUGUUUUAUCUUCACCUAUUUUUUAUAUUGCAAAUUGAUGUCAAUAUUCCUUCUGAGUUGCGAGGCCUCUUUUUAAUUUUUGUAGGGGUGUAUUUUUGAUGGACAAAAUGCUAAAUGGUCCUUGUCUGGCAUACAAGAAGCUCUUGUGUGAAACCACUAACGUGAAGAUGGCAUUUUAGAAGGCUUGUCAGCUUAAUCGUCUUGACAGGUUUGUGUGGUGUGAAGACAUUCCGUUC